CUACGGGGCGCUCCAGUGGGGAAUAUUGCACAAUGGGCGCAAGCCUGAUGCAGCCACGCCGCGUGUAUGAAGAAGGCCUUCGGGUUGUAAAGUACUUUCAGCGGGGAGGAAGGGAGUAAAGUUAAUACCUUUGCUCAUUGACGUUACCCGCAGAAGAAGCACCGGCUAACUCCGUGCCAGCAGCCGCGGUAAUACGGAGGGUGCAAGCGUUAAUCGGAAUUACUGGGCGUAAAGCGCACGCAGGCGGUUUGUUAAGUCAGAUGUGAAAUCCCCGGGCUCAACCUGGGAACUGCAUCUGAUACUGGCAAGCUUGAGUCUCGUAGAGGGGGGUAGAAUUCCAGGUGUAGCGGUGAAAUGCGUAGAGAUCUGGAGGAAUACCUGUGGCGAAGGCGGCCCCCUGGACGAAGACUGACGCUCAGGUGCGAAAGCGUGGGGAGCAAACAGGAUUAGAUACCCCGGUAGUC
rnacentral:rRNA from 1 species